CCUAUGGUCCCACUGAGUUCUAUGGCCCAGCUACUCGGGAGGCUGAGCUCGCUGGAUCGCUUGAGCCCAGGAGUUCUGGGCUGCAGUGCGCUAUGCCGAGCGGGCGUCCGCGCGUUGCCUAAGGAGGGGUGAACCGGCCCAGGUCGAAAACGGAGCAGGUCAAAAAUCCCGUGCCGGUCAGUAGCGGGAUCGCGCCUGUGAAUAGCCACUGCAGCGUAGCCUGGGCAACACAGAGAGACACGGGUUCCU
rnacentral:SRP_RNA from 1 species